CCACCUGGGAGCCCGAGAGUGAUCGGCAGCCCCGGGAGCCCGCUAUGCUGGAGCAGUGGGGACGACUCUCACCCCGACCCACACGAAGAAACACUGGACCCAGAGUAUACAAGACAUCUUGAACAAGUUAAAGAUGAAGCACCCCACUCCCCUUGAGCAGGCAUCAUUUGUUAUUUGCACCCUUAGCUGGACUCUUGGUGUGUCCUUGAAGACCAAACCAGCUACAAGACAGGAACAGUGGUUUCCCUAAGCCCUCUCAGCUGGUUAUUCCUCACUGCCCUGUUCUGCCUCAGGUCUUGGCCUUCCCCCAGCCACAUCUAAGAAGGACGUUGCAAUCAUCUGUUUGGAAGCAUUUCUGAGCCAGUCAGAUGUCAUCCUAGAGAUUUUCUCCAGACCAGUGGAAAGCCUAUACGUCAUUGAUGGACAACACUGGUAUUAUAAGGGGAAAGAAAAAAAAAAGAUCUUAUUUGUAUCUAAACUAAGGAGGAUGAGAGUGGGCCUGGAGAUGGUAUGGAACUGGAAAUGGAAAUGGAUGGUAGAAAUGGAAAUGUUCCCUCAGAACAACUUCCCUGAUGUUCCCUAUAAAGUCACUCCCUCCUAUCUAUCUACUUCUCCCUCCCCCCCCCAAAACUGUAUACUGACAAAAUUCCCUCUGACUCCCAACAGUCUCCAUCCCUUCAUUCUUCUCUGCUUCCCCCUCUCAACUGAGGCUCUAUGGGUACAGUAUUACUAGAACUGCCCAGACUUCCCCUUCUUGCUGUUGAUGUUUCAGCUGCCUCUCCCAGGGUUCCUCACAAGCCUGGAACUCUUCUGGGGUUUGAGGUGAGACUAGAGCUAAUCAGGGAGUAAGAGAGUUCAUCCCUCCCUGGGUCUGAGAGGUGAGUAGCACUGAAUUUGGGCCUAGGGUCAUCCUGAUUAGACCUAGCUGUAGGCAGAGGAGCCCUGGCUAGAUUUUCAGCUACAGGAUAUAAGGUGGAAAUUUUACACUGACUCUGGCCUAGGAAGAGGGAUGGGAAACAAGACUGAAGAUACUUCCAAAGGACAGACUUGCUUUCUUUGGGGAACUUCUAUGACUGUUGCUUGAGAGGGUACCAGCAUCAUGCUCUGACAUUCUUUCAUUGCCCCCUUGUUUCACUUGACUGCUUCUGGCGUUCUAUCCAAAGAAACUCCUUUUCCUCAAGGCUGUUUCCAGGAUUGGCCUUCCUCUCCUUUCCUGGAUACUCUCUUCUUUUCCUAUUUAAGUUCUUCCAAUCUUCAAGACAAGUUCAAGACUUAUUUCUUCCAAGAAGCCUUUCCUAACCAUACCAGCCUACAAUGAUCUCUCCUUGCUUUCUGAAUUCUAAUAUUUAUUUAAUUCACAUUUAUUGAGGACCCACUAUGUGCAAGGGACUGUGUUGGAUGCCAUGGCAAGCAUGAGAGUAAUACAAUAGGUUCUCUGCUUUCAUGGAACUUAUAGAUCUGGGAGAUCAGAUAAAGCAUGUGCACAAAUAUAAUGCAAUGUAUCAUGUGAUAAGUGAUUGAGAGAUAUACAAGGUGCUAUGAAAAGCAGGAUCAUCUGUCAUAUAGCAGUCAGUCAUUUGGACUUGUGGGUGCUUACUAUGUACCAGGCACCAGGCUAAGUGCUGGGGAUACAAAGAAAGGCCAAAAAAAAGUCUCUAUUGGGGAGUAUACAUUCUCAUGGGGGAGACAACAUGUAAAUAAAUAGAUAUGUACAUGAUCUAUGCAGAAUAGCUGAAAGAUAAUCUGAAGAGGGAAGGCUUUAGCAACUGGGGGGAAUGGGAAAAGCUCCUGCAGCAGAUGGACUUCAGGCUGAGGCUCCAAGCCUGGCAAGCUAAGAGCUGGAGGCGGGAAUGGGGGCAGGGGUGGGGCAGAGCAUUUCAAGCAUGUGGGAGAGUCAGUGGAAAGUCACAGAGACAUGUCUGGAUCAUAGAAUGCAUUGAGGGGAGGAAGGUAGAAGAGGACUGAAAAUAUAAGGAAAGAGGGAACACAAUCCUACUACCUGCAGCACUGGCUUGUGGUGUAAUCGUGAGGAAAACAAACCUCAUACUGUAAGUUGUGAUUAUUACAGUAUUAGUCUUUAUCUUUGUAUGUGUACAUUAUAUCACCUUUCCAUAGGUUCCUUGCAGGAGUGGGGAACCUGCGACCUUGAGGCCAAGUGUGGCCCUCUAGGUCCUUGGGUUUGGCCUUUUG